AAACCAUACACCGAAGCUACGGGUAUCACUUAGGUGAUGCGGUAGAGGAGCGUUCUGUAAGCCUGUGAAGGUGAGUUGAGAAGCUUGCUGGAGGUAUCAGAAGUGCGAAUGCUGACAUGAGUAACGACAAUGGGUGUGAAAAACACCCACGCCGAAAGACCAAGGUUUCCUGCGCAACGUUAAUCGACGCAGGGUUAGUCGGUCCCUAAGGCGAGGCUGAAAAGCGUAGUCGAUGGAAAACAGGUUAAUAUUCCUGUACUUCUGGUUAUUGCGAUGGAGGGACGGAGAAGGCUAGGCCAGCUUGGCGUUGGUUGUCCAAGUUUAAGGUGGUAGGCUGGAAUCUUAGGUAAAUCCGGGAUUCUAAGGCCGAGAGCUGAUGACGAGUGUUCUUUUAGAACACGAAGUGGUUGAUGCCAUGCUUCCAAGAAAAGCUUCUAAGCUUCAGGUAACCAGGAACCGUACCCCAAACCGACACAGGUGGUUGGGUAGAGAAUACCAAGGCGCUUGAGAGAACUCGGGUGAAGGAACUAGGCAAAAUGGCACCGUAACUUCGGGAGAAGGUGCGCCGGUGAGGGUGAAGCAUUUACUGCGUAAGCCCACGCCGGUCGAAGAUACCAGGCCGCUGCGACUGUUUAUUAAAAACACAGCACUCUGCAAACACGAAAGUGGACGUAUAGGGUGUGACGCCUGCCCGGUGCCGGAAGGUUAAUUGAUGGGGUUAGCUAACGCGAAGCUCUUGAUCGAAGCCCCGGUAAACGGCGGCCGUAACUAUAACGGUCCUAAGGUAGCGAAAUUCCUUGUCGGGUAAGUUCCGACCUGCACGAAUGGCGUAACGAUGGCGGCGCUGUCUCCACCCGAGACUCAGUGAAAUUGAAAUCGCUGUGAAGAUGCAGUGUAUCCGCGGCUAGACGGAAAGACCCCGUGAACCUUUACUAUAGCUUUGCACUGGACUUUGAAUUUGCUUGUGUAGGAUAGGUGGGAGGCUUUGAAGCGUGGACGCCAGUUCGCGUGGAGCCAUCCUUGAAAUACCACCCUGGCAACUUUGAGGUUCUAACUCAGGUCCGUUAUCCGGAUCGAGGACAGUGUAUGGUGGGUAGUUUGACUGGGGCGGUCUCCUCCUAAAGAGUAACGGAGGAGUACGAAGGUGCGCUCAGACCGGUCGGAAAUCGGUCGUAGAGUAUAAAGGCAAAAGCGCGCUUGACUGCGAGACAGACACGUCGAGCAGGUACGAAAGUAGGUCUUAGUGAUCCGGUGGUUCUGUAUGGAAGGGCCAUCGCUCAACGGAUAAAAGGUACUCCGGGGAUAACAGGCUGAUACCGCCCAAGAGUUCAUAUCGACGGCGGUGUUUGGCACCUCGAUGUCGGCUCAUCACAUCCUGGGGCUGAAGCCGGUCCCAAGGGUAUGGCUGUUCGCCAUUUAAAGUGGUACGCGAGCUGGGUUUAGAACGUCGUGAGACAGUUCGGUCCCUAUCUGCCGUGGACGUUUGAGAUUUGAGAGGGGCUGCUCCUAGUACGAGAGGACCGGAGUGGACGAACCUCUGGUGUUCCGGUUGUCACGCCAGUGGCAUUGCCGGGUAGCUAUGUUCGGAAUAGAUAACCGCUGAAAGCAUCUAAGCGGGAAACUAGCCUCAAGAUGAGAUCUCACUGGGACCUUGAGUCCCCUGAAGGGCCGUCGAAGACUACGACGUUGAUAGGUUGGGUGUGUAAGCGCUGUGAGGCGUUGAGCUAACCAAUACUAAUUGCCCGUGAGGCUUGACCAUAUAACACCCAAGCAAUU
rnacentral:rRNA from 1 species